rnacentral:rRNA from 1 species
AUUGAACGCUGGCGGCAGGCCUAACACAUGCAAGUCGAGCGAGCGGCGGACGGGUGAGUAAUGCUUGGGAAUCUAGCUUAUGGAGGGGGGUAACUACGGGCAACUGUAGCUCAUACCGCGUACCAUAGGAUGAGCCCAUUUGGGAUUAGGUAGUUGGUGAGGUAAAGGCUCACCAAGCCGACGAUCUCUAGCUGGUCUGAGAGGAUGACCAGCCCCACUGGGACUGAGACACGGCCCAGACUCCUACGUGAGGCAGCAGUGGGGAAUAUGGCGCAAUGGGGGCAACCUGACGCAGCCAUGCCGCGUGUAUGAAGAAGGCCUUCGGGUUGUAAAGUUCUUUCGGUAGCGAGGCGUUAACUACAGAAGAAGCACCGGCUAACUCCGUGCCAGCCGCCGCGGUAAUAC